rnacentral:rRNA from 1 species
UACGUAGGUGGCAAGCGUUAUCCGGACUUAUUGGGCGUAAAGGGAACGCAGGCGGUCUUUUAAGUCUGAUGUGAAAGCCUUCGGCUUAACCGGAGUAGUGCAUAGGAAACUGGGAGACUUGAGUGCAGAAGAGGAGAGUGGAACUCCAUGUGUAGCGGUGAAAUGCGUAGAUAUAUGGAAGAACACCAGUGGCGAAAGCGGCUCUCUGGUCUGUAACUGACGCUGAGGUUCGAAAGCGUGGGUAGCAAACAGG